GAUGAACGCUGGCGGCGUGCCUAAUACAUGCAAGUCGAGCGGACGGACGAGAAGCUUGCUUCUCUGAUGUUAGCGGCGGACGGGUGAGUAACACGUGGAUAACCGACCUAUAAGACUGGGAUAACUUCGGGAAACCGGAGCUAAUACCGGAUAAUAUUUUGAACCGCAUGGUUCAAAAGUGCAAGCCGGUCUUGCUGUCACUUAUAGAUGGAUCCGCGCUGCAUUAGCUAGUUGGUAAGGUAACGGCUUACCAAGGCAACGAUGCAUAGCCGACCUGAGAGGGUGAUCGGCCACACUGGAACUGAGACACGGUCCAGACUCCUACGGGAGGCAGCAGUAGGGAAUCUUCCGCAAUGGGCGAAAGCCUGACGGAGCAACGCCGCGUGAGUGAUGAAGGUCUUCGGAUCGUAAAACUCUGUUAUUAGGGAAGAACAUAUGUGUAAGUAACUGUGCACAUCUUGACGGUACCUAAUCAGAAAGCCACGGCUAACUACGUG
rnacentral:rRNA from 1 species